GACGAACGCUGGCGGCGUGCUUAACACAUGCAAGUCGAACGAAGAGCGACGGAAGCUUGCUUCUAUCAAUCUUAGUGGCGAACGGGUGAGUAACGCGUAAUCAACCUGCCCUUCAGAGGGGGACAACAGUUGGAAACGACUGCUAAUACCGCAUACGAUCUAACCUCGGCAUCGAGGAUAGAUGAAAGGUGGCCUCUACAUGUAAGCUAUCACUGAAGGAGGGGAUUGCGUCUGCUUAGCUAGUUGGAGGGGUAACGGCCCACCAAGGCGAUGAUCAGUAGCCGGUCUGAGAGGAUGAACGGCCACAUUGGGACUGAGACACGGCCCAGACCCCUACGGGAGGCAGCAGUGGGGAAUCUUCCGCAAUGGACGAAAGUCUGACGGAGCAACGCCGCGUGAGUGAUGACGGCCUUCGGGUUGUAAAGCUCUGUUAAUCGGGACGAAAGGCCUUCUUGCGAAUAGUGAGAAGGAUUGACGGUACCGGAAUAGAAAGCCACGGCUAACUACGUG
rnacentral:rRNA from 1 species